GCUUUUUAGGCAAAGUGUGGUUUGAAGAUGUUUGCCCUGUUCAUUUCUUAUCAAAACGGAUGAGGAAAAGCCCAGUGGCAGCUCAGGACUCUGAGGAGAACCACAAGGGGAGGAGAUUGCCACAGAUGGCUGCUGCUCUGCACCUCAAGGCACCCCUGAGCCUCUUGGGGGACACAUACCCUUGCUGCUGAACUGCAGUGCGAUCAGACAGCCACGUGUAGCUGGGGUCUGGUGUGGUUAGCACAGGCUCACACUAUCCUGGGCUCUCCGAAGGAGGCCCAGCUCCCACGACUUGAGUCCUUGCAAGCGCCAGUGGCCUGCAACUUUUGCCCUCACAGAGUCAGAGCCUUGCUGAGAGCCUCCUGCCCACUGCCCAGUGCAGCCCGCAUCCUAUGCAGCCCCUUACCAAGCUUUGAUUCUGCAGCCAGGCUGGAGCACAGUGUGCCCCACUUCCUUCCCUCCAAACCCCGUCAGGGCACGCUGGCCACCUUUCUCAGCACGGCACCCUUCCCAUUUGUGACCUGAUCUUCUCACAUCCCUGCUGUGGGAUCCCCACCCCCCACAUCGUCCUGUUGUUUCCUUCUCCAUCCCCAACCCUGGGCCCCUCUGGGAUAGGAGACAAGGUCUCUUUGCUCCCCAAAGGGGCUUUAUCACUUUUUUCUCCAUCUUUGGCAGCUACAGCAGUCCCAGAUGCCUGCAGACGGCUCUAUCACAGCCCUUCUGGCAGACUUGGCUUUGGUGGUGAUGAGCUUCAGGAUCAACUACAGGAUGCUCUCGCAUGCAUGUUUUGAUUCUUGCUGCACCAAUAAUAGACUGCACAGAGGAAGGAAGGUCCCCACUCUGUGCGGAGAAGUCUGGGACUCUGCAGUUCUCCAGAGGGAUCUGCAUGUCUGCCCAGCACAUCAUUCCCGGCCACGCUGGGGUUCAUGGGGCUUGGGUAUUUCUGCAUUGCAACUAUUGUAACAGUUUCCCAC
rnacentral:lncRNA from 1 species